GCCAGCGCGUGGAGAUCGGUGGAGCGGGCCUGCGCAAUCGCGGGCCGGACGGUUUGACGAUGACACAUUCAAUCAAAUGCUGCCUUGACAUUGGAAGCACACACGUUCACCACACCACUUGAGUAUCCUUGGCAGAACACACAAUGUGCAUCAGUGAGCAGACUAUUGCGAUUUUAUUCUGUAUGCAGGAACACAACAGGAAACACGGACAACAAAUGGCAAGUUCCAGAAAUCUUCUCGGCUGAUAUAUGCACUAAAUGGAAGUGACAGUUGGCAGCUGUGUCCUGAGGCAACUUAAGAGUUGAUAUGAUGUUCAAGAGAAACUCUAAUUGAACCUACCCUUGAAUAAACUUACCAAUCA